GAUGAAGAACGCAGCGAAAUGCGAUACGUAAUGUGAAUUGCAGAAUUCAGUGAAUCAUCGAAUCUUUGAACGCAUAUUGCGCUCUUUGGUAUUCCGAAGAGCAUGCUUGUUUGAGUAUCAGUAAACACCUCAACCUCUUCUUGAUUUUUCAAAAGGAGGGUGGACUUGAGCUAUCCCAACAACCUUUACCGGUCGGCGGGCGGCUUAAAAUGCAGGUGCAGCUGGACUUUUAUCUGAGCUAAAAGCAUAUCUAUUUAGUCCUCGUCAAACAGGAUUAUUACUUUUGCUGCAGCUAACAUAAAGGAUAAUUGUCCUCUUUGCUGACUGAUGCAGGAUUUUACGACACUUUAUGUGUUGUUCAACUCGAUCUCAAAUCAAGUAAGACUACCCGCUGAACUUAAGCAUAUCAAUAAGCGGAGGA
rnacentral:misc_RNA from 1 species